rnacentral:rRNA from 1 species
CCUACGGGUGGCAGCAGUCGAGAAUCAUUCACAAUGGGGGAAACCCUGAUUGUGCGACGCCGCGUGGGGGAAUGAAGGUCUUCGGAUUGUAAACCCCUGUCAUGUGGGAGCAAAUUAAAAAGAUAGUACCACAAGAGGAAGAGACGGCUAACUCUGUGCCAGCAGCCGCGGUAAUACAGAGGUCGCUAGCGUUGUUCGGAAUCACUGGGCGUAAAGGGAGCGUAGGCUGUUUUGUAAGUCGGGUGUGAAAGGCGCGGGCUCAACCCGCGGACGGCACAUGAUACUGCGAGACUAGAGUAAUGGAGGGGGGACCGGAAUUCUCGGUGUAGCAGUGAAAUGCGUAGAUAUCGAGAGGAACACUCGUGGCGAAGGCGGGUUCCUGGACAUUAACUGACGCUGAGGCACGAAGGCCAGGGGAGCGAAAGGGAUUAGAUACCCCAGUAGUC